UCCCUGGUUGAUCCUGCCAGUAGUCAUAUGCUUGUCUCAAAGAUUAAGCCAUGCAUGUCUCAGUGCAAGCCGCAUUAAGGUGAAACCGCGAAAGGCUCAUUAAAUCAGUUGUGGUUCCUUAGAUCGUACCCAAGUUACUUGGAUAACUGUGGUAAUUCUAGAGCUAAUACAUGCCGACAGAGUUCCGACCGUCGCGGCGCCCUCGGGCGUCGCUCGCGGGAGGAACGCUUUUAUUAGAUCAAAACCGGCCCGUCGCGGCGCGCUUCGUGCGCGUCCCGAUCGCGGCCCGCGCAAGACCUGGUGACUCUGAAUAACUUCGAGCUGAUCGCACGGUCUCCGUACCGGCGACGCAUCUUUCAAAUGUCUGCCUUAUCAACUGUCGAUGGUAGGUUCCAUGCCUACCAUGGUGGUAACGGGUAACGGGGAAUCAGGGUUCGAUUCCGGAGAGGGAGCCUGAGAAACGGCUACCACAUCCAAGGAAGGCAGCAGGCGCGCAAAUUACCCACUCCCGGAACGGGGAGGUAGUGACGAAAAAUAACGAUACGGGACUCAUCCGAGGCCCCGUAAUCGGAAUGAGAACACUUUAAAACCUUUAAACGAGGAUCAAUUGGAGGGCAAGUCUGGUGCCAGCAGCCGCGGUAAUUCCAGCUCCAAUAGCGUAUAUUAAAGUUGUUGCGGUUAAAAAGCUCGUAGUCGGAUCUGUGUCUGGACGGUGCCGGACCACCCUGGCGGUCCGUCGUGUCGCGGCCGGCCGUGUCGCGGGACCACGUGUCCCGUCGGCGCGGUCGCCGUCGCGCUCGUCAGCCGUCUCGGGGUGUUAGUUACCGGCACGUCGGCCGGACGUAUUGUCGGCAGGCGGACACGUGUCUCGUGCUUCCGGCGCGCCGCGCGGCCACGCGUCGCGCGGCCGUCGGUGUUCGACGACGGCGGCCGCCUACUCCAAUCUUGCUGCGCGGUGCUCUUCACCGAGUGCCGUCGGCGGGCCGACACGUUUACUUUGAACAAAUUAGAGUGCUCAAAGCAGGCUCGAAUCUGGCGGGGCGGCUUCACGGCCGUCUCGUCAAAAGGCCCUGAAUACUGGUCGCAUGGAAUAAUGGAACAAGACCUCGGUCCCGCGCAUCUCCGCCCUUCGCGGGCGCGCGAAAUCGCCCUCCGGGGCGUUUCCGUGCGCGGGCCGCCGGGCCGCGGGCGCCAGUCGCCCGCGCGUCCCGCCGGGCCGGUUUUCGGGACCGGAGGUAAUGAUCAACAGAGA
rfam:Acyrthosiphon pisum strain LSR1 Contig2304, whole genome shotgun sequence.